rnacentral:misc_RNA from 1 species
AAUAGCAAAGCGGACAUAUCGGGAAAUCCGUAUCCUUAGACACUUCCGACAUGAGAACAUCAUUGCAAUUCGUGAAAUAUUAAACAUCAGAGGUUCGGUUACGGAUUUCAAGGAUGUUUACGUGGUGCUGGAUUUAAUGGAAAGUGAUCUUCACCAAAUUAUUCAUUCUAAGCAAACUUUUUCUGAAGAGCAUGUUAGAUAUUUUCUCUACCAACUUUUGCGAGGUUUAAAAUAUAUUCACUCUGCAAAUGUUAUACAUCGUGACCUAAAACCAAGCAACCUGCUUGUGAAUGGCAACUGUGAACUAAAGAUUGGAGAUUUUGGAAUGGCAAGGGGUGUUUCAUUUGCGCAGGACCAUAAGCGUCAGAUGCGGAUGACAAAUUAUGUUGCUACAAGGUGGUAUAGAGCUCCAGAACUCCUUUUUCCUAUGGAGCAUUAUGUAAAAUCAGUGGAUAUGUGGUCAGUUGGAUGCAUUUUGGCAGAGAUGAUUGGCCGGAAGCAGAUAUUCCCAGGAAAGAACCUUAUAGAUCAGCUAACCUUAGUAACUCAAGUACUCGGCCUUCCACCAGAUAGUAUGUUACAAUCUUGUCACAGCGAUCAGAUCUUCAAUUUCUUUCACAAAAAUUAUGGUCACAUGAAACCUAUUGACUGGAAAACCAAGUAUCCAACUGCUGAUUCGCAAGCUCUCAACCUGUUAUCAAAGAUGCUGAUGUACAAUCCAGAGGAGAGAGUGACAUCGUCUGAUGCUCUGAAGCACCCGUACUUGGCCAAGUAUCAUGAUCCACUUGAUGAACCCCUCUGUUUUCCACAAUUUGAUUUCUCUUUUGAGAAUGAGAAGAUGGACAAGGAACAAGUUCGUGGCAAAGUUAUUAAAAUAAUUGAGAAGUAUCAUAGACAUAAGAAAACGGCGUCAAAAGUGCCUUUGGGAUCUUUUAUGAAGCCCACUCAAAGGGUUUGUGGUUCUGUUUCCAACCAGAAAGGAAUAAUUAAUGUUUCACAACCAGGGCUAUUUAUACCACAUACUGUGGUAGAAAACCUACAAAAUACCAGAGAGACUUUAACUCAGUCUUUGGCACAAGGUGAAACUGAUAAACAAGCAUCUUCAGUUGAAGGUAAGGGAACAGGAACAAUUAACGCUCCACAGAUAAACAUCCAGAAUACCGCACAGGAUUCUGAACCUAUCAUUGUCAAUGGGGAAGAUUCAAAAAGAGGUUUGCUUGUUGCAACCCAGCAAAAUACUACAGAUGUGGAAAUGAAGAGUGCAUUGUCUGUGUGUGGCAGUGCUCAGAUUAGCAGCCAGGAAAUCACCUCAAAUGGUUCCCACAAGAAUUCUCUACUACCACAAGAGUCUUCAGAUGUUGUUAUGCGAAGUGCAUCACGAGAGGAUUCAAUUUCGGAGUUACCCCAGCAGCAAGUAGCUGACCUUCAGAAUCUUAAUGCCAAAGCAGUAUCUGGUGAUGUGGCCAUGAAGAGUGCGAAAGACAGUGGUGAUGUUUGCAUACCCAAGGUACAAGGCCCACAGAUAAAUACUGAGAACUCACAGAAAACCAUCUCGACAGAUACAAAAGCUCUCAUCAAGGCAGCUCUGUUGAAUGCAGCACAUCGAAACAAGAUGCAAGCUUCUAAAACAGAUUUAACAAAAACUGAUCCCAAGGCAGCACCAGUUGGAGGACGCAAGAUGUCAGUGAAAGCAUGGGAACGACAGAAGGAAAGAGAAGAGAAAAGAAAAAAUAAGUUAAAGAAAGCUACUGAAAGACAGAAGAAAAUGAAAGCUAAAAAUAAGCAACAAGAAAACCAGGGACUGUUCCUCACACAGGAAGACCGAGACAUGCUGGAGAGAUGGAACAAAAUGAGGGCGUCUGCACAGGAGAGUAAAGACACAGGAUCUGUAAGCAUCAAGCAAUGGAAGUCUGAACCAAACAUUCAAAACUCAAUCAAAUCAAAGAUGCAAGGCCAUCAGCCACAAGGCAAUACAAACUCUGUUAAGUCCUUAGUUAAUCCUUCAACAUCAGGCUUGCAAGGUACAGGAGGAUUUGGGAAUAAGGAUACAAAUGGGCCAGCAACGUUUGUUCUUGCAGGCCAGGGCCAGGCACAAUGUGGCCAACAAGUGCAGAUUAAACUCACCCAACCUACAACAUUUGUUAUUAAAAAUACAGCUAAUAUGGCACCAAAUAGUAGAGUGAAGGUUCGUCAAAAUCUUAAGCCUAUAGCACCCAAGCAAGAACACAAGCCGCAGUGUGCUAACAUCCAGAGCCAGAAUACACGUCAAGGAACAAAUCUUUUCAACCAGGUGCCUGUAGUGGCCUCUGAUGUCAAGCAACCAGCAUCCAGUCAAAACCUUCCAAAUAUUGACCAAGGACAAAUGCAUACAUUCUCUUCUACAGAUAUGCUCAAUGACAUGAAACCAUCUGCAGUACCUCCAAAUGAGGCACUAUCUCCACAUUACCAGAGUCCUGGUAGUUGUUCUCCUUCAUUUGCCCAGCAUGGCUCGCCACCAACUUAUGAGGAAGCAUUGGAAGCCAAGCAGAAGCCCCCUACAAAGAUGUCGCCACUGUUACGUGAUGAAUUUUUAAUGGCUAGUGAUUCUUUUGGCGCUUCCACAAAAGUGUCUGCUCCAGAUCUCUUCAAAAAUGUUGUUCCGCCAGCUGGGUUUUACAAGGACCCAAAUUCUCCUCCAGACAUUGCAUCUGUUACACACCAAUUAUCAAAGUCGGGUAUGAUCGAUGUUCUCCCUCCAUUACUACAACUAACACCAAGAGGUGAUGGAGCAGGGUACGGGUUGACUAUGGACUUAGAGGAACUACUCAAUCAGUCUCUUGAUAUGCAACCCCCUCUAUCGACUGGGUAAGUACAUUUGCAGGAAGUAUUUAAUAACUUGGGUUAAUCCAUAUUUGUGAUCAUUCUUACAAAAAAAGACAAAAUACACAAUAAUAAAUUAAUUGUUUUCUUAUUAUUAAAAAUGUACGCAUACUGUAUGUGUUCUAAGUAACAAUUUUGUAAUGGCUCCGAAAUUAUAAAUAAAACCAAUGUUAAUUAUUUAGGGUUGAAUCUGAUCAACACUUGAGUGGUAAGAACACUGCCUUUAAAGUAAUAAGAAAGGUUAAUAGUGGAAUAAAAUUUUGUAUAGUUUCAGUAUUUUGAAGCUCCUGGCCUCAACACUUAUUCGUAGUCAUUAUGACUAGGGUUGUAGUAUGGUAUUCUGGUUUAAAAGAAGCCGUGAAAAAUUAAUGUCAGAUUGCUCAGAAUACAGUAAGCUCAUACAGUACUUUCGUACAGUUUUAGGGACUACAGUGAAAAUAAAUCAGCCAUUUGCCUACUUUAUUGUAUUUUUCAUCCCAGAAUUCUGUUACUGGUCUUUUUUGUAUAUGUAUUGUUGUGGCUAUAUGAAUUCUAAAUAAUAAAAGAAAAGAAAAAAAAACAUUAAAUUGAAACCUACUGUACAGUUAUAGUUCAGUAAUACAAAGUCAGCAAUUCAAAUUACCAUCAUUGCUAUCAUUUACUGUACUGUAU